UACGGAGGGUGCAAGCGUUAAUCGGAAUUACUGGGCGUAAAGCGCGCGUAGGUGGUUUGGUAAGCGAGAUGUGAAAGCCCCGGGCUUAACCUGGGAACGGCAUUUCGAACUGUCAGACUAGAGUGUGGUAGAGGGUAGUGGAAUUUCCUGUGUAGCGGUGAAAUGCGUAGAUAUAGGAAGGAACACCAGUGGCGAAGGCGGCUACCUGGACCAACACUGACGCUGAGGUGCGAGAGCGUGGGGAGCAAACAGG
rnacentral:rRNA from 1 species